rnacentral:rRNA from 1 species
UACGUAGGGUGCAAGCGUUGUCCGGAAUUAUUGGGCGUAAAGAGCUCGUAGGCGGCUUGUCACGUCGGAUGUGAAAGCCCGAGGCUUAACCUCGGGUCUGCAUUCGAUACGGGCUAGCUAGAGUGUGGUAGGGGAGAUCGGAAUUCCUGGUGUAGCGGUGAAAUGCGCAGAUAUCAGGAGGAACACCGGUGGCGAAGGCGGAUCUCUGGGCCAUUACUGACGCUGAGGAGCGAAAGCGUGGGGAGCGAACAGG